rnacentral:rRNA from 1 species
GCCGGGGUCAACUCGGAGGAAGGUGGGGACGACGUCAAGUCAUCAUGCCCCUUAUGUCUUGGGCUGCACACGUGCUACAAUGGCAGGUACAAUGAGCUGCGAAACCGUGAGGUGGAGCGAAUCUCAAAAAGCCUGUCUCAGUUCGGAUUGGGGUCUGCAACUCGACCCCAUGAAGUCGGAGUUGCUAGUAAUCGCAGAUCAGCAUUGCUGCGGUGAAUACGUUCCCGGGCCUUGUACACACCGCCCGUCACGUCACGAAAGUCGGUAACACCCGAAGCCGGUGGCCCAACCCCUUGUGGGAGGGAGCUGUCGAAGGUGGGACUGGCGAUUGGGACGAAGUCGUAACAAGGUAGCCGUACCGGAAGGUGCGGCUGGAUCACCUCCUUUCUA